UACGUAGGGUGCGAGCGUUAAUCGGAAUUACUGGGCGUAAAGCGUGCGCAGGCGGUUCGUGAUGUCUGAUGUGAAAGCCCCGGGCUUAACCUGGGAAUUGCAUUGGAAACUAGCGGGCUGGAGUGUGGCAGAGGGGGGUGGAAUUCCACGUGUAGCAGUGAAAUGCGUAGAGAUGUGGAGGAACACCGAUGGCGAAGGCAGCCCCCUGGGCUGACACUGACGCUCAUGCACGAAAGCGUGGGGAGCAAACAGG
rnacentral:rRNA from 1 species